GUUCUGAGCUCCUGUGAAGUACAUAUGUGUUUAGAGAGCUGUGUCUCCAAAGGGCGUGGAUGACUCACUGAUUCUCAAAUGAUGCUCUGCUAGAAGAGUGUCAGAUGCCUGCAGGGGAGGCUGGUGGAAGAAGCACGUGCAUUUUCACUGCAGGAUCCUGGAAAUGCUCAGGAAUUCCAUUCCUAGGAAUGUACCAAGAGAAACCUGCACAUGGACGGCAGAAGACAUGUACAAGGAUGUUUAGAAGCAGCACUAUUUACAAGAGCAAAACCUUUGGAACAACCUUUGAAACAAGCCAAUGCCUUUCAUCAGAAGAGUGGCUCCAUGA